rnacentral:rRNA from 1 species
AUGGAGAAGGAGAAGAAGCUGUCCUUCUCCAUCCCUUCCAAGCUCAGGCCGCCCAAGCCGCCCCGCCCCGCCGCCGGCGCUGAUUCCUCCGCCGCCAGCGGCAACUCCGCUUCCGCGGCCGCUGCCCCCGCCCAGCAAUUCGUCACCGAGUUCGAUCCGUCGCAAACCCUAGCCGCCGGCGCCGCGUCCGCCGUCAUCGCGCCCCUCCCCAACUCCGGCCACUUCCUCAACCACCGCUCCCGCAAACCCUCCUCCCUCCCGACCCCCGAGGAGGAGGCCGCGCUUGCCGCCUCCACCGCCGGUGGCCCCACAUUCGUGCUCGACACCUCCGAGGCCCCCGACAACCCCUCCUCCCACAUAGGCUAUGGCCUCACCCGACGCGGCGCCGACGCCGACGCUGAGGCUGACGCCACGGAGCCGGGUAAGACGCAGUCUUCCAAGGAAUCAGAGAAGAAGUCGACCUCUCCAGCCAGAGAUGGCGGCUCCAGCGGUGACCUUAUGCUGCGACGGUACAAGGAAGACAUGGCCAGCCUCCCGGACCACCGUGGUAUAGACGAGUUUGAGGAGGUGCCUGUGGAGGGCUUCGGUGCUGCUCUCCUUGCUGGUUACGGCUGGUCGGAAGGCAAAGGGCUCGGCCGCAAUAACAAGGAAGAUACCAAGGUUGUUGAGUAUAACCGCCGUGCCGGUACGCUGGGAUUAGGCUACGACCCUUCUGAGGCAGAUCCUAAGAAGACUCGCUCCGGCGACUGGGUUAUUGGUGGAAAGAAGCCGACAGAGAAUGGUGGAAAGAAGUCCGCCGAGAAUGGAAAUGCAAAGAAGAGAGAUAGGGACAAGGAAGACAGAGUCCGGGAGAGGGAUUCAAGUUCCCGACAGAAGAGAUCUGGUGAUCUUAGGGCCGAGAGGGAGGUUCGAGAGAAAGAGAGAAAAUCUCGGGAUAGUCGAGAAGAAAAGAGUAGCCGCGAUGUUGGUAACAAAGUGCGCUGGUUACAGAGCAAUAUUAGGGUUAGAGUGGUUAAUGAGAGGUUCAGCAGAAGGUUGUACCUGCAGAAGGCAAAAAUUGUUGAUGUGGUUGGACCAACGACAUGUGACAUAAUGAUGGAUGAUGGGUCAGAGCUUGUGCAGGGGGUGGAGCAGGAUAUGCUUGAAACAGUCCUGCCACGGACAAACGGGCAAGUGCUUGUGCUCUGUGGGAAGCACAAGGGGGUGUAUGGGCAUCUGGUAGAGAAGAAUUCAGAGGCAGAGACUGCAGUAGUGGAGGAUGCCGAUACAAAAGACAUGGUGCGUGUGAAAUAUGAUCAGAUUGCAGAGUACGUUGGGGACCCAGAAUUGCUUGGGCAUUGA